GUGGAUUUUGAUUUGAACAAUAAUGAAAUGAUCAAGUACAGCAGGAAUGGCUGUAGAAGAGCAGAGAUGAAGAUCUCCCACUUCUCCUCACAUCUGAGUUGACUCAGGUUCUGUGGGCAAACAUACCUGUGAGUUUCUUUCACAGAGAGGAACAGUUUCAACAGGAAAAGAUGGCAGCAGAGGGAUUGUCUGACAAAAUGGAGUCUGACCUGGAAAGGCAUAUGAAGUGUGGAACUGAACUCCUCCAUGUGGAAAAAAUGGAACCCAUUGACAUUCAUUGAUGUUUGUUGAACAUUUAUGGAGACCAAACAGUGGAUGUGAGCGCUGCGAGGUGGACUUCUACAUUACUGCAGCUCUGAAAUCUCAACAGUUUACAUGCUGAACUGCCGGAGAGAGGCCCUGGGAAGCACAAAACCUCAACAAUGAUGCCAUGGCAUGGCAGAAAGAUUCAAACUGAGGACGUUCGUGAAAAGGUUUUCGCUGAGUCAAAGAGAUUUUGUGAGACUCCAGCCCAGUAUAG
rnacentral:lncRNA from 1 species